CAGCCGCUCCUUGCGGUGACUGGAACGCCGCUCCGCCGAGUUCCCUCAGCGUGCCCGCCCCGCUGCCUCAGGGCCGGCACCCAGCGCCGGGCGGCCGGCUCCAUCCUGAUAGGCUGCGCUGCUGAAAAAACAUGAUGUCAGCCAGAGUUUAAGUGCUAUAUAUAGUGUGUGGACAAGACUACAAACUCCGUGGAUCUGUCUUUGACCAAGAGAACACCUGGAACAAUUGCUCCAGGCCUCUCACACUGCACCCCAGUGUAAAGGUCAGCCUUGCAGCUUUGGAAGCCCCCUUAUUCUUUACUCAGCUUGCUGGCCUAUGUUCAUAUACAGGACAGACUUGCACCCUGGCUCUCCUGGCAUGCUGGCUGUUUCCUCUGAAUUGGAUGUGUCCCAGAAAAGAAGGUAAUACAACACAGUUCUUGGAAGCCAUAGAAACAAAACUGAAGUAACUGAAAGAAAUGUGGACCAUCUUUUUUCUAGGGUCCCUGCAAGCUUUAGUAACUUGAAGUGACUGCAGUCACUCAG